rnacentral:lncRNA from 1 species
UGUCCCCCCGUGCGUCUGCGGGCUCGUCUCCACGCAGGGCCUGCCGUUCCCCACUGCCUGCGGGCAGCUCUCCCCCUUCUUCCCACCGUGGAGCCACGCACCUGUACCUCUUGGCUAACAUGCACAGAUGUCCAUCACUUCUCUGGCAGCUCCAGACAUAGAGGAGGAAGCCUAGUCAACAGUGCAAGAUGCUCACGGAUACCUUGACAGCAGGGCACUGAAGGGGAUGAAUGUAAACAUUUAACAGCUGUUUUAUUCAUCCG